CGGUUGAUCCUGCCGGACCCUACUGCUAUCGGGGUGGGACUAAGACAUGCAAGUCGAGCGUCUCUAGCUAUGUUGAGACGCGGCAUACGGCUCAGUAACGCGUGGCUAACCUACCCUCAGGGCGGAGACAACCCCGGGAAACUGGGGCUAAUAUCCGAUAGGCGAGGAUUCCUGGAAUGGUUCUUCACCCAAAGGACAUUGGAAACAUGCUUUCUCUGUCGCCUGGGGAUGGGGCCGCGUCCGAUCAGGUUGUUGGUGAGGUAAUGGCUCACCAAGCCUUUAACCGGUACGGGCCAUGAGAGUGGUAGUCCGGAGAUGGGUACUGAGACAAGGACCCAGGCCCUACGGGGCGCAGCAGCCGCGAAAACUCCGCAAUGCACGAAAGUGUGACGGGGCUACCCCGAGUGCCGUCCGCUGAGGAUGGCUUUUUCUUGGUGUAACUAGCUGGGGGAAUAAGGAGAGGGCAAGACUGGUGUCAGCCGCCGCGGUAAUACCAGCUCUCCGAGUGGUAGGGAUGAUUAUUGGGCUUAAAGCGUCCGUAGCCGGCUUAGCAAGUUUCCUGUUAAAUUCAGCGACCUAAUCGUUGAGCCGCGGGAAAUACUACUAGGCUAGGAGGCGGGAGAGGUCGACGGUACUUCUGGGGUAGGGGUGAAAUCCUAUAAUCCCGGGAGGACCACCAGUGGCGAAGGCUGUCGACUAGAACGCGCUCGACGGUGAGGGACGAAAGCUGGGGGAGCGAACCGGAUUAGAUACCCGGGUAGUCCCAGCUGUAAACGAUGCGGGCUAGGUGUUGGGGUGGCUACGUGCCACUUCAGUGCCGCAGGGAAGCCAUUAAGCCCGCCGCCUGGGGAGUACGGCCGCAAGACUGAAACUUAAAGGAAUUGGCGGGGGAGCAC
rnacentral:rRNA from 1 species